UUAUGGAAGGUAGUAGUAGGGAAUUUUUCGCAAUGAGCAAAAGUAUGACGGAGCAAUGCCGUGUAGAGGUAGAAGGCCUAUGGGUCAUAAAAUUCUUUUCUUGAAGAAGAAGCAAUGAUUAUAUCUUGGAAAAAAACAUCGGUUGACUUUGUGCCAACAACUAUUGUAAUAUAGAGGAUACAA
rnacentral:rRNA from 1 species